UACGUAGGGGCAAGCGUUGUCCGGAUUCAUUGGGCGUAAAGCGCGCGCAGGCGGCUGCCAGAGCCCGGCGUGCAAGCCCCCGGCUCAACCGGGGGGAGGUCGUCGGGGACCUGGCGGCUCGAGGCCGGUGAGGGGCGAGGCGGAAUUCCCGGUGUAGUGGUGGAAUGCGUAGAGAUCGGGAGGAACACCAGUGGCGAAGGCGGCUCGCUGGGCCGGUCCUGACGCUCAGGCGCGAAAGCGUGGGGAGCGAGUCCGG
rnacentral:rRNA from 1 species